rnacentral:ncRNA from 2 species
UCGAGUGUGAAGGAGUGGUUUAUCUAAACAGUGGAAACAGGGAAACACUUGAUUUAGUUAAACCAGAAU